UACAGAGGGUGCAAGCGUUAAUCGGAUUUACUGGGCGUAAAGCGUGUGUAGGUGGCACCUAAGUCGAUUGUGAAAUCCCUAGGGCUCAACCUGGGAAUUGCAGUCGAUACUGGGACAGCUCGAGUUCGGUGAGAGGGUGACGGAAUUCCCCGGUGUAGCGGUGAAAUGCGUAGAUAUCGGGAGGAACAUCGAUGGCGAAGGCAAUCACCUGGGCCUGAACUGACACUGUGACACGAAAGCGUGGGGAGCAAACAGG
rnacentral:rRNA from 1 species